AACUGAUACUACCUGCGGGAACCUGCGGAAGGAUCAUUACUGAAGUGAUUUGGGGAUGUUGCUGGCCCUCUCUCAAGGGGGGGCACUGUGCACUCCUCGAAACAAUUCACAAUUUCCAUCACACCCCUUGUGCACACCUUGUAGGCACCCAAACCCACCUCCGGGUGGUGGGGUCCUAUGUAUUCCUUCAUCUCACACUCUGUUGAAUGGUGCAUGGGACGCAUCUAAAGGAUUAUUUGU
rnacentral:misc_RNA from 1 species